ACAAGUACCGUGAGGGAAAGGUGAAAAGCACUCUGAAAAGAGAGUUAAAAAGUACGUGAAACCGCUAGAAGGGAAGCGAAUGGAGUCGGCAAGUCGCCUCGCCAGAUUCAUCCACUCUAGUUCCGCGACGCGCGGUCCCGCGAUCUGAUGCCAGACGCGGUUUGCGCGCCCGCGGUACGAGCGUGGUGCACUUCCGGCGGGCGAGUGUCAACGUCGGUCGCCCGCGCGAGUCACAAAGUCGCAAGCACGGUAGAUCCUUCGGGAUCGGUUUGUCUUGCGUGCACAUGGCUCGCGUUCGACCGUCUUCCGUCGCAACGCGUGCCUUCCCCUGCGGGGAGGCUGCCGUCUUUAUUGUCGAUCGUGCGAUGCUGCCCGGCGGACGGCUCCGCCUGUGCGUCGGCAGUGCCGCGGAUCGACUGAUAGAGAACGCCGACACGACGCGUUCAGGACGUUGGCAGCCGAGCGUCUCCAUCCGACCCGUCUUGAAACACGGACCAAGGAGUCUAACAUGUGCGCAAGUCUCAGGGUGAUCGAAACCCGUGGGCGCAAUGAAAGUAAAAGGCAGUCUCGGCUGCAUGAGAUGAGAAGCGAGGUCCGCCCCGCCGCAUCAUCUACCGACCUUGUUCUACGCGCUAGAAAGGUUUGAGUUAGAGCGCACCUGCUGGGACCCGAAAGAUGGUGAACUAUGCCUGAAUAGGGUGAAGCCAGCGGAAACACUGGUGGAAGCUCGUAGCGUUUCUGACGUGCAAAUCGAUCGUCGAAUUUGGGUAUAGCGGCGAAAGACUAAUCGAACCAUCUAGUAGCUGGUUCCCUCCGAAGUUUCUCUCAGGAUAGCUGGAACUC
rnacentral:rRNA from 1 species